AACUGGGCUUGUAGCACAUUGUCUGCCUUGCAACAAUGGGAAAGAGGCACCGUUUAUGUUUUGACAACCUAUAUCUAACGAGUUAUUGAUGCUGGAAGUGUGAAUCUGUGAAUAUCUUUCCAACUUUACUGAACUUGGGGCCACUACCACCUAAGGAGUGAUAUUGUUAGGUGUACCUCUGCAGGUCCUGGUUAGGCCCCUCCUUCCCCUUGUGUGUGUGUUUCCUUUUUAGGAAGGAGUGACAGCAGACAGCAGCGGCAGGUGUAGACAGUUCUCAUCUGAGCAAUCAGCAGAAGUGGGAGCAGAUGUGCAGAACCAAUCAGUCCACCACUCCAUCAUUUUAUAACCUGACUCUUCUCUUCAUUCUUCGUCGGAUCGUAAAAAGCAACUACCUAGACUGCUCCCAGAUUUGGACUCCUCGGACCCACCUGCCUACCGGCCUUCCCCCACCGUCAGGAUUAGUCACCCGGUUCAUUCUCCAACCAUUCCUCCGUCGACUACCAGCUCCUGUCCUCACCAGCCGUCGCCGCUGCAGCCGCACGUCCAUUCCUCCGUUCCAUCGUCGAGCCACAGCCAGCCAUCCCUCCUAGAUGCCAGCUGAGCACCCGUCCGAGCAGACUCCGUUAGUGUUUAUAGUUCUUAAAGAAUAACAGUGCUAUAGUAGUUUUUUGUUUACCGGACCCCGGCUCAUAGUUAAAGUUCCAGUAGCCGUAAUGUUUAGCUUCCUAGUUGUUGGUUAUUCCACUUAAAACAUUUGAGUUUCUAGUUUGCGUGUCUUGUGUAACACUUUAGUUUGGGUGGCUUCCUUAAUAGGCCUUUUGUUUUGAGCUUGCUGAAGUAAUUUGAGCUACUGUAAGCUGUAGUUCUCCUGCCCAGGAAUUACCUGUUGUGGGUCCGCCAGCCACUAGAGGCAACAAUCAGUUCUAGUUAAAGUCGUUAUCCCGUUGUUCCGGUACUCCCGGUAUUUUGAGUUUCUGUGGGAAUUGUAGUCCUUUAUCCCUUGUUUUUGAAUAAAUGACUAUUUAUGCAUAGUCUGACUCCAUCUCUUCCCUGCAUCUGAGCUUUUAAGAUAACAAAACCUAACAGAUGUAUUUAAUUUUGAAAAAAAGCAUUUAGCCAUACUUAAAGCUUUAAGUGCUUUAUUAACACGGAACUAAAAAUUUUGUAUUGUUUUAUUAUCACAGGUUCUGUCUGAAAAGAGGUGGCAUCAUUUUAAACAGUGAAAUCAAACUAACAAAAUGUAAUGACCAACCAGUGAGCAAUACUGGAUUCUGCAAAAACAUAAACAACUUUUUAAAAAAAAAAUCUUAUCUUAACACAGUUAAUGUAUUAACUUAUUUAUGUGUGUAUGCAUGUAUUUAUUGAUUUAUUUAGUACUGUUAACAUAUCAGAGUUCUGAGUGAAUUUUUCUUAAGAUAGGCAAAGGCCAUUUAUUGAUUACAUAUAGGCUAUUCAAUAUUUAUUAAAAACUAAAAAGC
ensembl:lncRNA